UACGUAGGGUGCAGGCGUUUAAUCGGAAUUACUGGGCGUAAAGCGUGCGCAGGCGGUCUUUUAAGUCAGAUGUGAAAUCCCCGGGCUUAACCUCGGAACUGCGUUUGAAACUGGAAGGCUAGAGUGUGGCAGAGGGGGGUGGAAUUCCGACGUGUAGCAGUGAAAUGCGUAGAGAUGUGGAGGAACACCGAUGGCGAAGGCAGCCCCCUGGGCUAACACUGACGCCUCAUGCACGAAAGCGUGGGGAGCAAACAGG
rnacentral:rRNA from 1 species